UACAGCAUAGCCUUAAUGCACUAGAUUCCAUUAGAACUCCGUAGUUAAGCGCGUUCAUGCCGGAGUAGUACCUGGAUGGGUGACCACCUAGGAAGUAUUAGUGUUUUAC
rnacentral:rRNA from 1 species